rnacentral:rRNA from 1 species
CUACGGGUUGCAGCAGUGGGGAAUAUUGGAUAAUGGGGGAAACCCUGAUCUAGCCAUGCCGCGUGAGCGACGACGGCCCUAGGGUUGUAAAGCUCUUUCAGCAGGGAAGAUAAUGACGGUACCUGCAGAAGAAGUCCCGGCUAACUCCGUGCCAGCAGCCGCGGUAAUACGGAGGGGACUAGCGGUGUUCGGAAUUACUGGGCGUAAAGCGCGCGUAGGCGGAUUGUUAAGUCGGGGGUGAAAUCCCUGGGCUCAACCCCGGAACUGCCCUCGAUACUGGCAGUCUUGAGUUCGAGAGAGGGGAGUGGAAUUCCGAGUGUAGAGGUGAAAUUCGUAGAUAUUCGGAGGAACACCAGUGGCGAAGGCGGCUCACUGGCUCGAUACUGACGCUGAGGUGCGAAAGCGUGGGGAGCAAACAGGAUUAGAUACCCCCGUAGUC